GAAAUAAUCAUUAGUAUUAGCCAGGUUCAUAUCAGUAGACUUUGGACAAUUCUGGUGCUGGAUAUUUGUUAGAUUCAAUGUUUGGUGAUAUUUGUAGUUUUGGAUAAUUACUAAAAUGAUUUCGUUAAAAUUUGGGAUAUGGUUAUUGCUAUUAUACGUUCAGGUAUUUUAUUUUAUCAUAUUUUGGAUAGAAAGAAACACUUAUAAACCAUUCUCUUGUGGAGAGUUAUCUCAUUGGCAGUCAUACCAUAUCUUCUUUUUUACAUUUAAUUUAUUCGGCAAUGGCAUCGCACAAUUACAAGAUGAGAGACCUUUUACGUGAAAAAAUAGCCAAAAUAUAAGAGAAAAUAAAAAAGAAAUAAGAAAAAAAGAGCACACAAACGACCGAAGAAUUAGUAAACAAUCUAGCAACAUGAUCUGGUAUAUGCAUGAUAAAUGUAUUGGUUAGAUUUCAUUCGUCCUCCUGAAUUGGGUGUGCACAGAUGUACUGUGGUCAACAUCUUGCGAGCAAUUGCCCCCGAUUCUACGAGUCUUCUUCAACUUGUAGUGUUUUCUUAACUUUUGCUCGAUUCGUGAGGAGCCUUGCCUUUGAAAAAAAAAAAAAAAAAAAAAAUACAACAACAUUAACAGCGCUUUUGAUUUUGUCGAAACCAUAUAUCUUAAAAUUAUUUGAUUCUCUCUUUUCAUUGUGAAGCUUUUCUCUCCAUUUUAAAUCCCUUGUUUAAUCAUGCUUUCUUCUUUUUUGAAUGCAGAUAAAAGACACAUACUGUAAAGGAAAAAUAAGUUUGAAGUUAUUAGAAUACAAUAAUCCUACAGGAACUGAUGCUAAAGGAGACUGUUGUGAUUCACCUGUAAAUACUCCUGGUU
rnacentral:lncRNA from 1 species